rnacentral:misc_RNA from 1 species
GAUGAAGAACGCAGCGAAAUGCGAUACGUAAUGUGAAUUGCAGAAUUCAGUGAAUCAUCGAGUCUUUGAACGCACAUUGCGCCCCUUGGUAUUCCGAGGGGCAUGCCUAUUCGAGCGUCAUUAUCACCCCUCAAGCCUAGCUUGGUGUUGAGGCCUGCUGUCAAGGCAGCCUCUAAAAUCAGUGGCAGUGCUGUCAGGCUCUAAGCGUAGUAAAUCUAAUCGCUAUAGACACCUGGUGGACACUCGCCAGAACCCCCCCAUUUUUUAAUGAUUGACCUCGGAUUAGGUAGGGAUACCCGCUGAACUUAAGCAUAUCAAUAAGCGGAGGA